CCUACGGGAGGCAGCAGUAGGGAAUCUUCGGCAAUGGGGGCAACCCUGACCGAGCAACGCCGCGUGAGUGAAGAAGGUUUUCGGAUCGUAAAGCUCUGUUGUAAGAGAAGAACGAGUGUGAGAGUGGAAAGUUCACACUGUGACGGUAACUUACCAGAAAGGGACGGCUAACUACGUGCCAGCAGCCGCGGUGG
rnacentral:rRNA from 1 species